UCUCUUUAUAAGGGACAGUUCAGGUCAUCUCAUGGCCUGGACACUCGUCAUCAUGGCUCUGAAUGUUAGCUGUUGUUGGAAAGGGCUCCUCCUGAACUUUUUCCUCUUCGUCUGCGUCCAAGGACAAGCAGCAGAGCCAUCUUUCAUGGUGACUUUUCCUGCCGUGAUUGAGUCAGGAUCUGAGGCCAAACUGUGUGCAAGUCUUCUGAAGCCCAAUGAAAGUCUCGUCAUGAACAUAUAUCUGGUUCAUGGGAACCAGAGCACAUUACUGCUGCAGGAGAAUGCUGAGCAAGAGUUUCACCGCUGCUUUAACUUCAAGGCCCCUCUAGCAGAAGCAGAAUCAGUGCAGAAAAUCAAGGUUGAACUUCAGGGAGAGUCCUUCAAGAUGACUGAGGAAAGAUAAGUCAUGUUCAAAUCUUACGAUCCUCUGACCUUUAUCCAGACUGAUAAACCCAUCUAUAUGCCUGGACAGAUUGUGAACUUCAGAGUUGUUACCAUGGAUACAAACUUUGCACCAGUUGAUCAGCAGUACAGUAUUAUCGUGCUUGAGGACAGUCGUACUAACAGGAUUGGUCAAUGGACAAAUGUUUCCUCAACAAGGUGGAUUUUGCAGCGCUCAUAUGAAUUAAACCCAGAAUGUCGUGAAGGCGCAUACAAACUAAAGGCUUUUAUUGGAGAAAGGAUGAUCUUACAUGAUUUUCAGGUGAAAAAAUACGUUUUGCCUAAGUUCGAAGUAACAUUAAAAAAACCAAAGACAGUGAGUGUUGUUGAGGAGGAACUGUUAAUUGAGGUUUGCGCAAAAUACACUUAUGGACAACCUGUGCCUGGUAAAUCAUGGGUAAAAGUGUGCCGUGAUCCUUUGCCCUACAUUUUUUUCUUUCCAUUGUGUUUAGGGGAAACCCUUGAGAUAACAAAGACUGGCUGUGCCAUCCAUAACUUUGGUUUAUCAAUGAUAUUGAACUCCACACUAAAGAAUAACUUAAAGGAUUCUCUUCAUGUUGAGGCAGUGGUUACAGAAGAAGGAACAGAGAUCACCAGGACAAAAUCUGAAUCUGUACAUCUCACUUAUGAAAUUGGCAAAGCCACACUUAUUGACCUGCCCAAAACAUAUGAACAUGGAUCAGUCAUAAAAGGAAAAAUCAAACUUUUCGAUUUUAAAGAUGCGCCAAUUCCAAACAAAGAGGUUUAUCUUUUAGAGGGUGAAAACUGGUCCUCCAAACUGCUCCUAAAUCUCACUACAGACAGUGAUGGACUGGCCAGCUUCUCUCUUAAUACAUCUAGUCUUUCUAAAAAAGACAUUUCUCUGAUUGCAAGUGUGUAUCCAGAUACCCGUUAUUAUGGCUACAAAACACCUUACUUCUCUACAGAUAAAAAAACAGUUCAACUCUUCCAGAUCGCCACUGCGUACUCCCCAACAUUAAGUGAACUGAUUAUAGAAGAUAUUGAGCAGCCGAUAAAGUGUGGCACUGAGAUUACAGCCACUGUGAAGUAUUAUUUUGUUGGCGAGACUGUUGAAGACUUCAGUACUGACAUUGUCUAUAUGGUCUUGUCCAGAGGAGUGAUCGUUCAUCAUGGAUUUGAGAAGGUUGAAGUGAAGUCUUCUUCUAAUGGAGUAGCAAGUGGCACAAUGUCCUUCAAACUGUCUGUUGGUGCAGAUUUGGCUCCUGUAGUGCAGAUUCUGGCAUACUGUGUUCUGCCCAGUGAAAAUGUUAUUGCUGCUAACAAAACAUUAGACACUGAAAAAUGUUUUGGUAAUAAGGUGUCUCUGCAGUUUUCUCCUGCUAAAGCAGUUCCUGGUGAGAAAAACACUCUCCAGCUCUCAGCUCAGCCUGGUUCACUGUGUGGCCUCAGUGCUGUAGAUCAGAGCGUCCUGAUCCUGGAGUCAGGAAAACGUCUGGAUGCUGACAAGAUUUUCAACCUGCUACCAGUUCAUUCGGUGUCAGAGUAUCCUUACAGUGUUGAAGAUGGGCAGGCAUGUCUGUAUAUAAGACCUCGUCGAUCUGUGCUGACAGACAACACCUAUGAAACCUUAAAGAGUGUGGGGCUGAAAAUGGCAACAAAUUUGGCUGUGCGAGUCCCUGAGUGUCUGUUAUACAGAGGCUUGACUUAUCACAAAAAUUUAGUGAUGUAUCGUCAGUAUGCUCCAGCACCCGGGAUGUUUGCUCAAGGAAUGGCUGGUGUUGAUGGACUGGUUGGAAAUUCUCCAUCAGUGACAAUUAGGACAGUCUUUCCAGAAACAUGGAUCUGGGAGCUUGCUGAAGUGGGAGACUCUGGAUCAGCUGAGGUUCCUGUCAAAGUUCCUGACACCAUCACCACUUGGGAAACAGAGGCCUUCUGUCUGUCCUCCACAGGUCUGGGCUUGGCUCCUCCUGCUCAACUGACAGUUUUCCAGCCCUUCUUCCUGGAGCUCUCUCUGCCUUACUCCAUCAUCCGUGGGGAGAUCUUUGAGCUCAAGGCCACUGUUUUCAAUUAUCUGUCCAAGUGCAUCAUGAUUAAAGUGAGUCCAGCUCCUUCCUCAGACUACUCUCUCAAAGCCUCCUCUGAUGAUCAGUAUUCAUCCUGUCUCUGUGCUAAUGGAAGAAAAACCUUUAAAUGGAUCCUCACUCCUUCUGUUCUUGGAGUGGUAAAUGUUACAGUUAGUGCAGAGGCAGAGGCGUCCCAGACUGUGUGUGACAAUGAGAUUGUGAGUGUGCCAGAGAGAGGACGCAUUGACAUCGUCACACGAAGUCUGCUUGUACAGGCUGAAGGAAUUGAAAAGACAGAGACCAACAGCUGGUUAUUGUGUCCAAAGGGUGACAGUCUCUCAGAGAAAGUGGAUCUUACUCUGCCUAAAGAUGUGAUAGAUGGAUCAGCAAAAUCCUCAGUUUCAGUCAUUGGAGACAUAUUGGGUCGUGUACUGCAGAAUCUUCAUGGAUUAUUACGGAUGCUGUACGGCUGUGGAGAACAAAACAUGGCUGUUCUUUCUCCCAAUAUUUACAUUCUGCAGUAUCUGGAGAACACAAAGCAGCUCACAUCAGCCAUCCGAGAGAAAGCCAGCAGCUUCCUUAAGAGUGGAUACCAGAGACAACUGAACUACAAGCAUUUUGAUGGGGCUUACAGCACAUUUGGUUAUGGUGAUGGAAACACAUGGUUGACUGCCUUUGUCCUGAGGUCUUUUGGCAAAGCUCAGAAAUACACAUUUAUUGAUCCACAAAUUAUUCAGAGUGCAAAGGAUUGGUUAAUAAGCAGACGGGAUUCAGACGGCUGUUUUAUCCAACAGGGAAGACUGUUUAACAACAGAAUGAAGGGUGGAGUGAAUGAUAAUGUGACCAUGACGGCCUACAUUACUGCAUCACUGCUUGAACUGGAAACUCCAGUCACAGAUCCUGUCAUCACUAAAGGUUUGUCAUGCUUGAGGUCCGUCAUCGAGGAAGUCAAAAACACUUACACCACUGCUCUGCUGGCCUACACUUUCAGUCUGGCUAGAGACACCAACACUCGAAAGCAGCUUUUCAGCAAACUGGAGGAUCUUGCUAUUUCAGAUGGUCCUCUUGUCCACUGGUCUCAGUCUGCAUCUGCUGAUGACUCUGCUUCUCUGGAUGUGGAGAUCAGCUCAUAUGUGCUGCUAGCUGUUCUCACUGCAGAUUCACUCACUACAGCUGAUUUGGGCUUUGCUAACAGGAUUGUCAGCUGGCUUGUGAAGCAGCAGAAUGCCUAUGGAGGAUUCUCCUCCACACAGGACACAGUGGUGGCUCUUCAGGCUCUGUCUUUGUACGCCACCAAAGUGUUCAGCUCUGACGGCUCCAGCACAGUGACUACAGUCAGCAGGAGACUCUCACCACUUUGAUGUCAAUCAGGACAACAAGUUACUGUACCAGGAGAAGCAGCUGGCCAAUGUGCCGGGCAAAUACAGCAUUGAAGUCAAGGGCUCAGCCUGUGUGUCUGUGCAGAUAGCUCAGUUUUACAACAUUCCCACUCCUACUGAAGCUAAAACAUUGAGCAUUGAUGCUAAGAUUGAAGGAGAUUGUGAAGCACUGGGACAAAAUUUCAUCUUCGACUUCACUGUCAAAUACGAUGGGCCAGAGGAAAAGACUAACAUGGCCAUUGUAGACAUUAAACUGUUAUCUGGAUUCACAGCUGAUACAUCUGCGCUUGGCACUUCUUCAGGAACAUAUGUAUCACUUGUGGAGCGGGUCGAUUCCAAAGAUGACCAUGUCAUUGUGUAUCUGAAGGAGAUCUAUAAAAAUGUUGCAAUGAAUUACCAGAUACAAAUGAAACAGGUUCUACCAGUUAAGAAUCUCAAGCCAGCUGUGGUCAAAGUGUAUGAUUACUACCAAACAAGUGAUCAAUCAGAGAUUGAAUACUCCUUCCACUGUGAAGCACUGAAGAACAUCAAUUAAUAUUUUUCAGUGGUGAAACAUGUUUAAGCAUUUAUUUGUUUAAUAUUAAAUAGUUUUUCUAUAUUCUGGGCAAAUUAAUUCCCACCUAUCAACCCAACCCAUCAUAUCUUAAGAAACUGAUUUAUUAAAUCACACACAUACAAAAAAUAUUACAUCAUGAUUUAACAUGAUUAUUAAAAGUGUUGAACCCUA